rnacentral:rRNA from 1 species
UGGGGAAUAUUGGACAAUGGGCGCAAGCCUGAUCCAGCAAUGCCGCGUGUGUGAAGAAGGCCUGCGGGUUGUAAAGCACUUUCAGUGGGGAGGAAGGCCUUGGCCUUAAUACGGCUAAGGAUUGACGUUACCCACAGAAGAAGCACCGGCUAACUCUGUGCCAGCAGCCGCGGUAAUACAGAGGGUGCAAGCGUUAAUCGGAAUUACUGGGCGUAAAGGGUGCGUAGGUGGUUAAUUAAGUCAGAUGUGAAAUCCCAAGGCUUAACCUUGGAAUGGCAUUUGAUACUGGUUGGCUAGAGUACAGAAGAGGGAAGUGGAAUUUCCGGUGUAGCGGUGAAAUGCGUAGAUAUCGGAAGGAACAUCAGUGGCGAAGGCGACUUCCUGGUCUGUUACUGACACUGAGGCACGAAAGCGUGGGGAGCGAACAG